rnacentral:lncRNA from 10 species
GUUUUAACAAAGCUUCUACUCAGAGAGACGGAUUAAACCAGACAAUUAAACAUAAUGCAAAUGAAUGUGAUUACUGGGGCACUGUAGAGACAGAGAGAGACAUGAGAUCCCACAGAAGCUAAGGCAGAUUUAAGUGAUCAUGCAGGAUGGUUAGAAGGGACUGAUUAUUGAAAGAAUUUCGGUGAAAAAAUAAACAUUUAUCCUUAGAUGCUGAGCGUGAAUGUGAGACUGUUAGAUGUAAAAGAAAAAAUAUUCUGACACUUGGGUAAAUGGUGAGGAAGAAUAUUCAAGACAAUUGCAACAGGGGAGAGAGACCCAACUCUGAAUAUAGCAAUGAUAGUUGGUUUUUUGUAGACAAUUAUCAAAGUAAGGCGGUCAGUGGGUGGGAAAUUACAAAGAACAACUUGAUUAGGUAUCAGGAGCAGAAUCCUUGCUAAAGGCAGGCCAAAGAUUUAGACAUUAAGAGUGGAACAUGGGAAAUCUGAUCAGGUAUCAAGGAUGGGGGGAUUCUCAUUACCCUUGUUGAAACUGGGUGCAACACAGUUUCAACACAGAUGUCCAAAGUCCAGGCCUAGUCAGGAAGAGGACUCAGGGAAGCCCAAGUCAAGUCUGGUCGAGGAGAAGGUCUUUGCCAGAUGGCAGUGUUUCGAUCUAUUACACUACAGACAUUGUGGGCCACAUAAUACAUUUUCAGGGGGAAGAGGGCUGUCCUGUGCAUUGUAGGAUGUUUAGCUGCAUCCCUGGCCCCUGCCCACUGGAGUCAGUAGCAUACUCAAGUGUGAUAACUCAAAAUGUCUGCAGUCACUGUUAAUUUUCCCUUGAGGUGGACACAGUUUACCCCAGCUGAGAACCGCAUGGAUGAGGAGAAGGCACAUACAUAUGCCUGAGGUUUCAGGCAAAGAAUAGUAGACAUGUGUUGGUGUCAUGCAUUGAGGCAGAGAUCGCUGGUGGAGAAGCACAUACAGGGAAGCUGGGAUUAUCGAGUGUAACGGAUACUACAGUGUAACUAGAGAAAGAAUAUGAAAGGUGGGAAAAUGGGAGUGAAAAUAUUGUAAUAUUUAGCAAGUGCAUGUGUGCAGUGGUUCAAUGGUCUAUUCUGUGCAUUAAGACUAUUUGGUGCCAUUGUUUUACUGGGCUGAGCUUAUUUCACUUAACAUAAUUUCUUCCAGUUCCCUCCCUCCAUGUUGGCUGCACAUGACAGUUUUGCUCUUUUUAAAAUGAUAUUGAGGCCGGGCGCGGUGGCUCCAGUAGCCUGAAUUCUUAAC